AAUCCAUAGGUUAAUGAGGCGAACCGGGGGAACUGAAACAUCUAAGUACCCCGAGGAAAAGAAAUCAACCGAGAUUCCCCCAGUAGCGGCGAGCGAACGGGGAGGAGCCCAGAGCCUGAAUCAGCAUGUGUGUUAGUGGAAGCGUCUGGAAAGGCGCGCGAUACAGGGUGACAGCCCCGUACACAAAAGCGCAUGUGCUGUGAGCUCGAUGAGUAGGGCGGGACACGUGGUAUCCUGUCUGAAUAUGGGGGGACCAUCCUCCAAGGCUAAAUACUCCUGACUGACCGAUAGUGAACCAGUACCGUGAGGGAAAGGCGAAAAGAACCCCGGCGAGGGGAGUGAAAAAGAACCUGAAACCGUGUACGUACAAGCAGUGGGAGCCCCACCACCAAAGCGUUUCGCUUUGUGUGGUGCACAAAGAAGCGUAACGACAGCACUGAAUGACGGUUAACGGAGCGCAAGCGACGUUCAACAUACAAAGUCAAGCAGUGGAGCGCUUUGGGGUGGGGUGACUGCGUACCUUUUGUAUAAUGGGUCAGCGACUUAUAUUCUGUAGCAAGGUUAACCGAAUAGGGGAGCCGGAGGGAAACCGAGUCUUAACCGGGCGUUAAGUUGCAGGGUAUAGACCCGAAACCCGGUGAUCUAGCCAUGGGCAGGUUGAAGGUUGGGUAACACUAACUGGAGGACCGAACCGACUAAUGUUGAAAAAUUAGCGGAUGACCUGUGGCUGGGGGUGAAAGGCCAAUCAAACCGGGAGAUAGCUGGUUCUCCCCGAAAGCUAUUUAGGUAGCGCCUCGUGAAUUCAUCUCCGGGGGUAGAGCACUGUUUCGGCUAGGGGGCCAUCCCGGCUUACCAACCCGAUGCAAACUGCGAAUACCGGAGAAUGUUAUCACGGGAGACACACGGCGGGUGCUAACGUCCGUCGUGAAGAGGGAAACAACCCAGACCGCCAGCUAAGGUCCCAAAGUCAUGGUUAAGUGGGAAACGAUGUGGGAAGGCCCAGACAGCCAGGAUGUUGGCUUAGAAGCAGCCAUCAUUUAAAGAAAGCGUAAUAGCUCACUGGUCGAGUCGGCCUGCGCGGAAGAUGUAACGGGGCUAAACCAU
rnacentral:rRNA from 1 species